rnacentral:lncRNA from 1 species
UAUAGGGAAAACGGUAGUAUUACAUUUUCCCAGCAUUAGGUUGGCCUUUUGUGUACCCAAAGCAGGUGAAGGAAGUCAAAUUAGGAGCGCUGUAAUUGGAUGUAAGGGUACAAUAUAUAUUUUUAAUUAUCUAUGAAUAACUGCAGUGUGUAAAUUUUAAAACCUAUUGAAAUAUUUUCUAGAGAAUUAUUCGAAAAGGCUUCCAAAAUUUCAAAAAUUUGUUGUAAAAUGACGGUGGGCAUGGAUAACAUAAACAAGCUCCGUUGGAAAUUGGUCAUGAUACUAUUUGGC